UUGCCUCUUUACAGGAGGAAGCUGUAUAGAGCCUGUGUUCACAGGAGGUGGUUGAGCUGUUGGAAGCAGCAAUAUACAUAUAUAGUGCUGUGUACUGCGUAAAAUACACAUUUAUCACUCCAUUGCUCUUUAUUAAUAGGAGGAAAGACACUAAAAAAUAACUCAACAUCAAGAUUCAGAAUGGAGAUAAAGCUGUUUUAUGGUAUCUGAAAGCAUGUGGAAGAAUUGUUUUGUAGCUGGAACUUAUUUGGCACUGGGGAAACUAUUUGUUGAACUGCUAGUAAAACUUCAGAAGAGGAAAUACUUAACAGAAGGCAUCCAAACAAGUGCUGAGCUUUCUUUCCAUGAAAAUCAUGGUCAGAUAGGGCGUUUGUAAACACUAGGAGCACCGGAAAAAUGGAACGCACAUUCUCACUGUGAAUGACAAAGACAGCAGUGGGAACCACAAUGCAUGCAGGACCCAAGAAAACCAGGAUUGGAAGCAGAGAAGCCUGCUGAGAACAUUCUUCUCGAGCACAGUGAUUGGCACAGUUUGGGCAGAGUUGCCAAAAUGGAAUGCUCUAAGAAAUUUCAAUAAGGAAUUGCUCAUUCUGCAUCUUUGACUGCCAGACAGCCUAUCCUACUUUUCCCCAUUUUGCUGUUAUCUAUAAGGACUGGAAAUUCUAUCUCAUGUCUGAGAGCAAAAAAAAACCA